rnacentral:rRNA from 1 species
GGAUCCAGACUUUGAUUAUGGCUCAGGAUGAACGCUAGCUACAGGCUUAACACAUGCAAGUCGAGGGGAAACGACAUCGAAAGCUUGCUUUUGAUGGGCGUCGACCGGCGCACGGGUGAGUAACGCGUGUCCAACCUGCCCACCACUUGGGGAUAACCUUGCGAAAGUAAGACUAAUACCCAAUGACAUCCCACGAAGGCAUCCGAAUGGGAUUAAAGAUUUAUCGGUGAUGGAUGGGGAUGCGUCUGAUUAGCUUGUUGGCGGGGUAACGGCCCACCAAGGCAACGAUCAGUAGGGGUUCUGAGAGGAAGGUCCCCCACAUUGGAACUGAGACACGGUCCAAACUCCUACGGGAGGCAGCAGUGAGGAAUAUUGGUCAAUGGGCGAGAGCCUGAACCAGCCAAGUAGCGUGCAGGAAGACGGCCCUAUGGGUUGUAAACUGCUUUUAUAAGGGAAUAAAGUGGGUCACGUGUGACUUUUUGCAUGUACCUUAUGAAUAAGGACCGGCUAAUUCCGUGCCAGCAGCCGCGGUAAUACGGAAGGUCCGGGCGUUAUCCGGAUUUAUUGGGUUUAAAGGGAGCGUAGGCCGGAGAUUAAGCGUGUUGUGAAAUGUAGAGGCUCAACCUCUGCACUGCAGCGCGAACUGGUCUUCUUGAGUACGCACAACGUGGGCGGAAUUCGUGGUGUAGCGGUGAAAUGCUUAGAUAUCACGAAGAACUCCGAUUGCGAAGGCAGCUCACGGGAGCGCAACUGACGCUGAAGCUCGAAAGUGCGGGUAUCGAACAGGAUUAGAUACCCUGGUAGUCCGCACGGUAAACGAUGGAUGCCCGCUGUUGGCCUGAAUAGGUCAGCGGCCAAGCGAAAGCAUUAAGCAUCCCACCUGGGGAGUACGCCGGCAACGGUGCAA